UGCAAGUCGAGCGGACAGAUGGGAGCUUGCUCCCUGAUGUUAGCGGCGGACGGGUGAGUAACACGUGGGUAACCUGCCUGUAAGACUGGGAUAACUCCGGGAAACCGGGGCUAAUACCGGAUGGUUGUCUGAACCGCAUGGUUCAGACAUAAAAGGUGGCUUCGGCUACCACUUACAGAUGGACCCGCGGCGCAUUAGCUAGUUGGUGAGGUAACGGCUCACCAAGGCGACGAUGCGUAGCCGACCUGAGAGGGUGAUCGGCCACACUGGGACUGAGACACGGCCCAGACUCCUACGGGAGGCAGCAGUAGGGAAUCUUCCGCAAUGGACGAAAGUCUGACGGAGCAACGCCGCGUGAGUGAUGAAGGUUUUCGGAUCGUAAAGCUCUGUUGUUAGGGAAGAACAAGUGCCGUUCAAAUAGGGCGGCACCUUGACGGUACCUAACCAGAAAGCCACGGCUAACUACGUGCCAGCAGCCGCGGUAAUACGUAGGUGGCAAGCGUUGUCCGGAAUUAUUGGGCGUAAAGGGCUCGCAGGCGGUUUCUUAAGUCUGAUGUGAAAGCCCCCGGCUCAACCGGGGAGGGUCAUUGGAAACUGGGGAACUUGAGUGCAGAAGAGGAGAGUGGAAUUCCACGUGUAGCGGUGAAAUGCGUAGAGAUGUGGAGGAACACCAGUGGCGAAGGCGACUCUCUGGUCUGUAACUGACGCUGAGGAGCGAAAGCGUGGGGAGCGAACAGGAUUAGAUACCCUGGUAGUCCACGCCGUAAACGAUGAGUGCUAAGUGUUAGGGGGUUUCCGCCCCUUAGUGCUGCAGCUAACGCAUUAAGCA
rnacentral:rRNA from 1 species